AUGCAGUAGUAAUUUUAUGAUUCAGUUUGGUCAAAGUGUAAGGUGGGUUGCAUAAGAUGCAUUAUUACUAUUGAAGAAAAUACUGCAAAAUAUUAAAAUUUUAUUAUAUAAAGCAAUGAUCACUUAUAUUGCCAUUUUAUCGUCUCUUAAAACACUAUUAUAGAACCUAGAACCUAUAAUCAUUAUACAUUUUCCAUCUAGACCUGCAUUGAAACAAAUUUGGGUGAUAUGAAUUCUUAUCUUUUAACCAUUAAAUGUGCAACUUUUGCAGAUGCCAUGUAAUUCACGAGUAUCUCAAGAAUGGUGAAAUGAAACACAAAGAGAAAGCAAGAAAAUAAAUGCCCAGCACAACUGAUAUGUAAUAGCGACCCUUGUCACUGUCAUCUAUGGUAUUUGUGGUCCCCAAAAGGAAGGACUUGAUAAUUUAAGACGCAUUUCUCUUAAUCAAGGCUACCCAUUGCUCAAUUCGUCUCAUGCCAUACCCAUGAUUGCAGCAGUACUACCCAGUAAAUCUGAUGGUGUUUGGAGGCGGUCACCUUUUGUUUGCUGUGCAGAGGGGAAUCUGUGAACAUCUUGAACUUCAAACACUAUCUCCACAUCUGCUUCUGGAGAUGCAGCUGGUGAUGAUGAGAUAUAAAAUGUAAGAGAAAGUGGUCGAAGAUGCUGAAGACAGUGCUUUGAACAAGACAGAUAUGUCGUUGCCUUAAUGGAGCUACAAUUUCAGUGAGAAAGAGAGGAGAUGGCAUUCAAGGAGAUCUUGAAGGAUCCAGUAAGU
rnacentral:lncRNA from 1 species